GGUAGUAUGGCUGNAACAGCGAUAAACUGUAAAUUUAUUAAUAAGGCAUCGCCUUUACUGCCA
rnacentral:tRNA from 1 species